GCGCACUUCGCCGCCCGUCAGAGGGGCUGAGCCGCCUCCGCGGUUACACAAGCGAGCAGGCGGCGGCAGUCCUGCUGGUGGAUCGGAAGCUGAUGCAAGCAACAGUGCCAUAAAGAAAUGGGCUAGAUAUUUCCAGAGGCUGAGAUCUGGAGGCAUUUGGAGGUACCUAAAGGAAAGGCUACAAGAGGGUAUCGAUGGCAGGCCAUGUCCAUAGAAGUUACAUCUGUGAAAACAAGAGGGAUAAAUUAUGUAUUUUGCUGGAAUUUGGCAAUAGAGGUAAGCGAUUAUCCAUAUAAUCACUUUUUUCAGAGGAAGCUUUUCUUGAAAGCAAAGAUCUUGUUUAUAGAAAUUGAUUUUAUGAAUAAAGAAAUGUUUGUAGGUGCAGAAAGCUUUUAAAUAGAUGAGACACAGCCUUUGGGUAUAAAAGGGUCACUAAUAAUAUGAAAUACAUGUCAUGCAGUGUUGAUAAACUGAUUCAUCCAAACAUUAAUUGUCCCUACUGGUUCUCACAACUGGAACUGAUGUAAAUGUGUUGUUGUGUUGUUCAGUCGCUAAGUU